AUUGAACGCUGGCGGCAGGCCUAACACAUGCAAGUCGAACGGUAACAGGAAGAAGCUUGCUUCUUUGCUGACGAGUGGCGGACGGGUGAGUAAUGUCUGGGAAACUGCCUGAUGGAGGGGGAUAACUACUGGAAACGGUAGCUAAUACCGCAUAACGUCGCAAGACCAAGAGGGGGACCUUCCGGCCUCUUGCCAUCGGAUUUGCCCAGAUGGGAUUAGCUAGUAGGUGGGGUAACGGCUCACCUAGGCGACGAUCCCUAGCUGGUCUGAGAGGAUGACCAGCCACACUGGAACUGAGACACGGUCCAGACUCCUACGGGAGGCAGCAGUGGGGAAUAUUGCACAAUGGGCGCAAGCCUGAUGCAGCCAUGCCGCGUGUAUGAAGAAGGCCUUCGGGUUGUAAAGUACUUUCAGCGGGGAGGAAGGGAGUAAAGUUAAUACCUUUACUCAUUGACGUUACCCGCAGAAGAAGCACCGGCUAACUCCGUG
rnacentral:rRNA from 1 species